rnacentral:siRNA from 1 species
GGAUGGAGAUUGAUGAAAUGAUC